AACCACUUCGGUGGUCAUCCGUAAAAAUUGGAACGAUACAGAGAAGAUUAGCAUGGCCCCUGCGCAGGAAGAGCGCGAUCCUUUUUUU
rnacentral:snRNA from 1 species